rnacentral:rRNA from 1 species
AACGUAGGGCGCAAGCGUUAUCCGGAGUUACUGGGCGUAAAGCGCGGGCAGGCGGCUCGAAACGUCUGAUGUGAAAUCUCCUCGCUCAACGGGGAGAGGCCAUUGGAAACGGUCGGGCUGGAGGGCAGUAGAGGCAGGCGGAAUUCCGGGUGGAGUGGUGAAAUGCGUAGAGAUCCGGAGGAACACCAGAGGCGAAGGCGGCCUGCUGGGCUGCACCUGACGCUGAACCGCGAAAGCCAGGGGAGCGAACGGG